rnacentral:lncRNA from 13 species
GCCUUCCUCCUCUUCAGCGCUGUUGGAGUCUCCCGCCGGUUUAGCGCUGUCAGAGCUUUCCGCCUCUACAGCGUUGCCGGAGUCUCCCGCCUGUUCAGAACUGCCAGUUAGCAUAGAGCUGCUAGUUAGCAUAGAGCUGCCAGUUAGCAUAGAGCUGCCAGUUAGCAUAGAGCUGCCAGUUAGCAUAGAGCUGCCAGUUAGCAUAGAGCUGCCAGUCUGCAAGGAGCUGCCAGUCUGCAAGGAGCUGCCAGUCUGCAUAGAGCUGCCAGUCUGCNNNNNNNNNNNNNNNNNNNNNNNNNNNNNNNNNNNNNNNNNNNNNNNNNNNNNNNNNNNNNNNGUGGCCAAGAAGGAAAAAAGGUGCAACGUGGGUAACCACCACCAACAACAACAGGAGCAGCCAUGCGUACCAUGGAACAGCUCAGAGUCCAACUGCAACUGCAACAGAAGGAAGCUGCCUCCUCAGGAGUCCCAUCUGGAGUACCCCCACUGUGACUGCCCUCUUCUUCCUCCUCCUCGGGUAGGCCAGCUCAAGCACAGAAAAAUAAGGAACACAUACAGUGCCUUGCGAAAGUAUUCGGCCCCCUUGAACGUUGCGACCUUUUGCCACAUUUCAGGCUUCAAAUAUAAAGAUAUAAAACUGUAUUUUUUUGUGAAGAAUCAACAACAAGUGGGACACAAUCAUGAAGUGGAACGACAUUUAUUGGAUAUUUCAAACUUUUUUAACAAAUCAAAAACUGAAAAAUUGGGCGUGCAAAAUUAUUCAGCCCCCUUAAGUUAAUACUUUGUAGCGCCACCUUUUGCUGCGAUUACAGCUGUAAGUCGCUUGGGGGAUGUCUCUAUCAGUUUUGCACAUCGAGAGACUGAAAUUUUAUCCCAAUCCUCCUUGCAAAACAGCUCGAGCUCAGUGAGGUUGGAUGGAGAGCAUUUGUGAACAGCAGUUUUCAGUUCUUUCCACAGAUUCUCGAUUGGAUUCAGGUCUGGACUUUGACUUGGCCAUUCUAACACCUGGAUAUGUUUAUUUUUGAACCAUUCCAUUGUAGAUUUUGCUUUAUGUUUUGGAUCAUUGUCUUGUUGGAAGACAAAUCUCCGUCCCAGUCUCAGGUCUUUUGCAGACUCCAUCAGGUUUUCUUCCAGAAUGGUCCUGUAUUUGGCUCCAUCCAUCUUCCCAUCAAUUUUAACCAUCUUCCCUGUCCCUGCUGAAGAAAAGCAGGCCCAAACCAUGAUGCUGCCACCACCAUGUUUGACAGUGGGGAUGGUGUGUUCAGCUGUGUUGCUUUUACGCCAAACAUAACGUUUUGCAUUGUUGCCAAAAAGUUCAAUUUUGGUUUCAUCUGACCAGAGCACCUUCUUCCACAUGUUUGGUGUGUCUCCCAGGUGGCUUGUGGCAAACUUUAAACGACACUUUCUAUGGAUAACUUUAAGAAAUGGCUUUCUUCUUGCCACUCUUCCAUAAAGGCCAUUCCAUAAAGGCCAGAUUUGUGCAAUUAUACGACUGAUUGUUGUCCUAUGGACAGAGUCUCCCACCUCAGCUGUAGAGCUCUGCAGUUCAUCCAGAGUGAUCAUGGGCCUCUUGGCUGCAUCUCUGAUCAGUCUUCUCCUUGUAUGAGCUGAAAGUUUAGAGGGACGGCCAGGUCUUGGUAGAUUUGCAGUGGUCUGAUACUCCUUCCAUUUCAAUAUUAUCGCUUGCACAGUGCUCCUUGGGAUGUUUAAAGCUUGGGAAACUUUUUGUAUCCAAAUCCGGCUUUAAUCUUCUUCACAACAGUAUCUCGGACCUGCCUUGUGUGUUCCUUGUUCUUCAUGAUGCUCUCUGCACUUUUAACGGACCUCUGAGACUAUCACAGUGCAGGUGCAUUUAUACGGAGACUUGAUUACACACAGGUGGAUUGUAUUUAUCAUCAUUAGUCAUUUAGGUCAACAUUGGAUCAUUCAGAGAUCCUCACUGAACUUCUGGAGAGAGUUUGCUGCACUGAAAGUAAAGGGGCUGAAUAAUUUUGCAUGCCCAAAUUUUCAGUUUUUGAUUUGUUAAAAAAGUUUGAAAUAUCCAAUAAAUGUUGUUCCACUUCAUGAUUGUGUCCCACUUGUUGUUGAUUCUUCACAAAAAAAUACAGUUUUAUAUCUUUAGGUUUGAAGCCUGAAAUGUGGCAAAAGGUCGCAAAGUUCAAGGGGGCCGAAUACUUUCGCAAGGCACUGUAGCUUGAGUAUUUACUUUUUUUAGGAGAGGAAGUCUUGUUGGGAAAUGGUACAUAUUUUAAACCCCUGUAGAAACCAUUUCCUGUAUUCUGCAGCCUUAUGAUAUACAGUUACAGGCAAUACCAGUAGAUAGAAUUUAGUCAGAUUUAAUGUAUCAAAUCAGAGGGUCAUUUCUCAAAUUUCUCAUAUAUUAUUUAUGUUUUGAUUCGUGCCAUUUGAUUGGUUGGAAGUAAUCUAAAUGUCUCUUAUUUUCUCCUAUUCCUCCUCAGGUGAAGAGCCCCCUACAGGCCACCUCUAACGGGAGGACAGACCUGGUCCAGGUGGGUCUAAAAACCAGGACCAACCCCAUGCUGCAGGAGCUGUCAGAGCUGGAGACACACAUUACCAUCAUCAAACAGCAGCUGCACAUCGCCAUGAAGAAGAAGAGGGAGCUGGAGCAGUACCAGCAGACACAUAACAUGACAGAGUAGAGGAUUGGUACAAGCAGACACAUAACAUGACAGAGUAAUUACGCUAUAGAAAAGGUACCAAGUCAAUAGCGCGAGUGAAGACAUUACAAGCUGGUGAAUGAGGCUGUGAAGCUAACUCUGUUACAACUGGUACCAGCAGACACAAGAUAUCUGAAUAGAGGCUGGAGCUACCAGCAGAUACACAACACCCCUAAGUAGAGGCUGGAGCUACCAGCAGAUACACAACACCCCUAAGUAGAGGCUGGAGCUACCAGCAGAUACACAACACCCCUAAGUAGAGGCUGGAGCUACCAGCAGAUACACAAUACCCCUAAAUAGAGGCUGGAGCUACCAGCAGACACAUAACACCCGUAAGUAGAGUCUGGAGCUACCAGCAGACACAUAACACCCCUAAGUAGAGUCUGGAGCCAUUCCGGAGUAGAGGACUAGACAUAAGACAAACAGGAACACUGAGUAGAGGCUGGAGCCAUACCGGAG